GAUGAACGCUGGCGGCGUGCCUAAUACAUGCCAGUCGAGCGAACAGACGAGGAGCUUGCUCCUCUGACGUUAGCGGCGGACGGGUGAGUAACACGUGGAUAACCUACCUAUAAGACUGGGAUAACUUCGGGAAACCGGAGCUAAUACCGGAUAAUAUAUUGAACCGCAUGGUUCAAUAGUGAAAGACGGUUUUGCUGUCACUUAUAGAUGGAUCCGCGCCGCAUUAGCUAGUUGGUAAGGUAACGGCUUACCAAGGCAACGAUGCGUAGCCGACCUGAGAGGGUGAUCGGCCACACUGGAACUGAGACACGGUCAAGACGCCUACGGGAGGCAGCAGUAGGGAAUCUUCCGCAAUGGGCGAAAGCAUGACGGAGCAACGCCGCGUGAGUGAUGAAGGUCUUCGGAUCGUAAAACUCUGUUAUUAGGGAAGAACAAAUGUGUAAGUAACUAUGCACGUCUUGACGGUACCUAAUCAGAAAGCCACGGCUAACUACGUG
rnacentral:rRNA from 1 species